rnacentral:tRNA from 11 species
GUCGGGAUAGCUCAGCUGGUAGA